GUGGCCGUUAGCUCAGUUGGUUAGAGCGUGGUGCUAAUAACGCCAAGGUCGCGGGUUCGAUCCCCGUACUGGCCACU